rnacentral:rRNA from 1 species
UACAGAGGGUGCAAACGUUGCUCGGAAUCAUUGGGCGUAAAGCGCACGUAGGCGGUCCAGCAAGUGGGGAGUGAAAGCCCUCGGCUUAACCGAGGAAGUGCGUCUGAAACUGCUGAGCUUGAGUGUCGGAGAGGAUGGCGGAAUUCCGCAAGUAGAGGUGAAAUGCGUAGAGAUGCGGAGGAACACCGAUGGCGAAGGCAGCCCCCUGGGCCAAUACUGACGCUCAGGCACGAAAGCGUGGGGAGCAAACAGG